UGCGGGGAGGGGGAGCCGCCGCGGAACGCGCGCGGGCCGGCCACCGCGAGCGUAGGGGAGCGUGGACCGCGGCGCGGCUGUGUGACUGCCUUCCCCCGGCCCUCCUCCCCCGUCCCCGGGCGAGCGGACUGUGAGGCGUUGCAGCCGGGUCCCGCGAGGCCGGAGGAGGCGGCCGGGCCCGGGCAUGGUGGUCUGGGGCAACGCAGAAGAAGCUCCACCAUGAGACGAGGUGGAUGGCGAAAACGAGCUGAAAAUGAUGGCUGGGAAGAUUGGGGUGGGUAUAUGGCUGCCAAGGUCCAGAAAUUGGAGGAACAGUUUCGAUCAGAUGCUGCUAUGCAGAAGGAUGGAACUUCAUCUACAAUUUUUAGUGGAGUUGCCAUCUAUGUUAAUGGAUAUACAGAUCCUUCUGCUGAGGAAUUGAGACAACUAAUGAUGUUGCAUGGAGGUCAAUACCAUGUGUAUUAUUCCAGAUCCAAAACAACACACAUUAUUGCCACAAAUCUUCCUAAUGCCAAAAUUAAAGAAUUAAAGGGAGAAAAAGUAAUUCGACCAGAAUGGAUUGUGGAAAGCAUCAAAGCUGGACGGCUCUUAUCCUACAUUCCGUAUCAGCUGUACACCAAGCAGUCCAGCGUGCAGAAAAGUCUUAACUUCAAUCCUGUAUGCAAACCUGAGGAUCCUGGGCCUGGUCCAAGCAAUAUAGCCAAACAGCUCAACAGCAGGGUAAAUCAUGUAAUUAAGAAGAUUGAGGCAGAAAAUGAAGUCAAAGUCAAUGGAAUGAACAGCUGGAAUGAGGAAGAUGUAAACAGUGAUUUUAGUUUUGUGGAUCUGGAGACCAUUCCAGAAUGGAAACGAAAUGGAAUUCCACAUUCCAGAGACAGCACUGCCAUUUUUAAUGGACACAGUCCUAGCUCUAAUGGUGCCUUAAAGACACAGGAUUGCUUGGUGCCCUUGGGCAAUAGUGUUGCGAGCAGGCUUUCUCCAGACUCUGCCCAGGAGGAGAAGGUGGCUGAGAAGAGCACCACUGACUUCAGAGACUGCGCUCUGCAGCAGUUGCAGCAAAGCACCAGAAGUGCAGAUGCUUUGCGGAGUUCACACAGAACUAACUCUUUCUCAUUAUCAUCUUUGCACAGUAAUGCUAAAAUCAAUGGUGCUCACCACUCCACUGUUCAGGGGCCUUCAAGCACAAAAAGCACUUCUUCAGUACCUACUCUUAGCAAGGCAGCACCUUCAGUGCCAUCCAAACCUUCAAGCUGUAAUUUUAUUUCAGACUUUUAUUCUCGUUCAAGACUGCAUCACAUAUCAACGUGGAAGUGUGAACUGACUGAGUUUGUCAAUACCCUACAAAGACAAAGUAGUGGUGUCUUUCCAGGAAGGGAAAAGUUAAAAAAAAUGAAAACAGGCAGGUCUGCACUUGUUGUAACUGACACAGGAAAUAUGUCAGUUUUGAGUUCACCCAGACAUCAGAGCUGUAUAAUGCAUGUUGAUAUGGAUUGCUUCUUUGUGUCAGUGGGUAUACGAAAUAGACCAGAUCUCAAAGGAAAACCAGUAGCUGUCACAAGUAACAGAGGCACAGGAAGGGCACCUCUACGUCCUGGCACUAACCCCCAGCUGGAGUGGCAGUAUUACCAGAAUAAAGCCCUGAAAGGCAAAGCAGCAGAUAUACCAGAUUCAUCAGUGUGGGAGAAUCAAGAUUCUGCACAGACAAAUGGGAUUGAUUCUGUGUUGUCAAAGGCCGAAAUUGCAUCUUGUAGUUAUGAAGCCAGACAAGUUGGCAUUAAGAAUGGAAUGUUUUUUGGGUAUGCUAAACAGCUCUGUCCUAAUCUUCAAGCUGUUCCAUAUGAUUUUCACGCAUGUAAGGAAGUUGCACGAACAAUGUAUGAAACAUUGGCAAGCUACACGCAUAACAUCGAAGCUGUCAGUUGUGAUGAAGCAUUGGUAGACAUCACCGAAAUCCUUGCAGAGACCAGACUUACUCCUGAUGAAUUUGCAAAUGCUGUCCGUAUGGAAAUCAAAGACCAGACUAAAUGUGCUGCCUCUGUUGGAAUUGGCUCUAAUAUUCUCUUGGCUAGAAUGGCAACUAGAAAAGCAAAGCCAGAUGGGCAAUACCACCUAAAACCAGAGGAAGUAGAUGAUUUUAUCAGAGGUCAGCUAGUUACUAGUCUACCAGGAGUUGGACGUUCAAUGGAAUCUAAGUUGACAUCUUUGGGAAUUAAAACUUGUGGAGACUUGCAGUAUAUGACCAUGGCAAAACUCCAAAAAGAAUUUGGUCCCAAAACAGGUCAGAUGCUUUAUAGGUUCUGCCGUGGUUUGGAUGAUAGACCAGUUCGAACUGAAAAGGAAAGAAAAUCGGUUUCAGCUGAGAUCAACUAUGGAAUAAGGUUUACCCAGCCAAAAGAGGCAGAAGGUUUUCUUCUGAGUCUUUCAGAAGAAAUUCAAAGACGACUUGAAGCUGCUGGCAUGAAGGGUAAACGCCUGACUCUCAAAAUCAUGGUACGAAAGCCAGGGGCCCCUAUAGAAACUGCAAAAUUUGGAGGCCAUGGAAUUUGUGAUAAUAUUACUAGGACUGUAACUCUUGACCAGGCAACUGAUAGUGCAAAAGUAAUUGGAAAGGCUACACUAAACAUGUUUCAUGCAAUGAAACUAAAUAUAUCGGAUAUGAGAGGGGUUGGGAUUCAAGUGAAUCAGCUGGUUCCAACUAAUUUGAAACUUUCCACAUGUUCCAAUUGCCCAUCAAUUCAGUCAAGCCACUUUCCUGGUGGGUCACACUCUGUUCUUGAUCUCUUCCAAGUUCAGAAAACUAAGAAAUCCAUAGAAGAGGAGCAUGAGGAAGUAUUUCUGGCUGCUAUGGAUCUAGAAAUAUCAUCUGCCUCUAGAACUUGCACCUUUUCUACACAUCUGCCAGCAAGUAUCAGUCCUGAUACUAGCAAAGCUGAGUCUUCAGGGAAACAGAAUGGUCUGCACUCUCCCGCCGUCAGUGUACAAUCAAGACUUAACCUGAGUAUAGAGGUCCCGUCACCUUCCCAGCUCGAUCAGUCCGUUUUAGAAGCACUUCCACCUGAUCUCCGGGAACAAGUAGAGCAAGUUCGUGCUCUUCAGCAAGGAGACCCACAUGGUGACAGAAAGAAAGAACCCAUAAAUGGCUGUAAUACCGGAAUUUUGCCACAGCCAGUUGGGACAGUUUUGUUGCAGAUACCAGAAACUCAAGAACCUAACAGUGACACAGGAAUAAGUGUAAUAGCCCUUCCAGCAUUUUCACAGGUGGACCCUGAGGUGUUUGCUGCCCUUCCUGCUGAGCUUCAGAAGGAGCUGAAAGCAGCAUAUGAUCAAAGACAAAGGCAGGGAGAGAACAGCGCUCACCGGCAGCCAGCCAGCACAUCUGUGCCAAAGAAUCCUUUACUUCAGCUAAAGCCAGCAGCAGUGAAAGAUAAGAAAAAAAGCAAGAAAAAAAACCCCAUCAGUUCCCCCCAAAAGAUUCAGAGCCCUCUGAAAAACAAGCUACUUAACAGUCCUGCGAAAACUCUGCCAGGGGCCUGUGGGAGUCCCCAGAAAUUAAUCGACGGGUUUCUAAAACAUGAAGGACGUGCUGCUGCUGAGAAGCCCCUGGAAGAACACUCUGCCUCCACCUCAGGUGUGCCAGGCCUUCCCAGUCUGCAGCCUGAUGCAUCUGGCUGUGUUAGACCCCCAGCACCCAACCUAGCUGGUGCUGUUGAGUUCAAUGAUGUGAAGACCUUGCUCAAAGAAUGGAUCACUACUAUUUCAGAUCCAAUGGAAGAAGACAUUCUGCAAGUUGUGAAAUACUGUACUGAUCUAAUAGAGGAAAAAGAUUUGGAAAAACUGGAUCUAGUUAUAAAAUACAUGAAAAGGUUGAUGCAACAAUCGGUGGAAUCUGUUUGGAAUAUGGCGUUUGACUUUAUUCUUGACAAUGUUCAGGUGGUUUUACAGCAAACUUACGGAAGCACAUUAAAAGUUACAUAAAUAUUACCAGGGAGCCUGGUGCUCUCCGCUAGCUGUGCCAUAAGUGCUUGUGAGGCUCCUUUUUGUGAAUCCUUAAAAACUCAACUCUAGGAAGCAGCUACUGUUUAUUACCCUAAAGGCUGAAAAACGUCCAGGCCAGACUGUUACAGGCUCCGUGCUAAAAGCUUUGAAAUUCCUGAGAGGUCCCAGACCGGGAUUCUACUUGUUCCAAGAAAGGGUAAAGCUUCUAAACCAUCUUAUCAUUCUUAUCUCCAAGCAUGAUUAAGAAAAUCUUUACUUCUUCCAUGUGGAGAAAUUUACAUAUCUUAAACUAGAACACACCCACCUGAAGGUUGUUUUUCCUGGGAAAAUUAUAUAUCCUUGAUAGAUGGUGGUGGUGUCUCUACUGGCCCUUGAGAAACUUUCGUACAGAUUUGCAGACAUAUAUAAAAUAUUUUUCUAUGCUGUAUGUAUACCAUAACACUUUUUAAAAAUAA